rnacentral:lncRNA from 1 species
AAAAGAAUCCUUUCUUCCUUCACUCCUUCCUUCAACAGCCAGUUACUGAUGCGUUCGGGCGCUGUGAGUUCCUGAGGGUACAGUCCUCAUUCCCCCCGCCCACUCUUGUUGCUCAGUACCAGUUGCCGGAGCAGGAACAGGAGCAGGAGUGAGCAGGGAAGGGAGCUCACCUGCUGGUGGCUGGUGCCAACAGACCCGGCCACCUCUGAAUGUGGGAGGGUUCAGUGGGAUUUGUGACCACCGUGUGUCCUGAGUAUAACCGAGAUGUAAAGGGAAAUCAGCUGAAGAGCACAUAGGAAAGAUUUUCCUCUCCACUAAAAAAAAAUAUACACCAGAAGAAUCUUCCUCUCCUGUCUCCUUGCAUUAUAUCUUUGGAUGCAGUUGUAUGAGAUAUGAUGCUUGGAGCUAUGGCAGCCA